rnacentral:lncRNA from 1 species
UCUUUUUUACGCUUUCCUUACAUUUUCCCUUCUUGCAUUUCAUCCCUACCACUACCUGUCCCAAUUGACCCACACUGCGCCUCACGGCUCUCCAGCAUACCUCUGUUCGUUCGUUUUUACAGCUCCUCCGACCACCAUAAUGUCAUCGGCCAGCCACUUACCGACGGGAUUUGAGCUACUCCACUAGGAGACCGACGAUUUUCUUGCAUCAGAACUUCAACCCAUUGAAGAGCUACUUCGAAAUUCUCUCUUCCACCACAACCCAAUCGAUGANAAUGGACAACUACGGCCAGCAGUGGGACUCUGUUCCCGAACAACUAGUAAGUUUCUACACCCUUCCUGCUCGCAUUUGAUCACCGCAUCUCUGGCUGCACAAUAGUAACGUUAUUCCCCUAUUUCUCCAAUUGUAAGUUGCUUCCUUUCCACAUGUGAUCCACAACACCCGAAUGUGAAAGUCACGUCUGGUAAUUCUGAA